rnacentral:rRNA from 1 species
GAUGAACGCUGGCGGCGUGCUUAACACAUGCAAGUCGAACGGAAAGGCUCCUGCUUGCAGGGGUACUCGAGUGGCGAACGGGUGAGUAACACGUGGGUGAUCUGCCCUGCACUUCGGGAUAAGCCUGGGAAACUGGGUCUAGUACCGGAUAGGACGAUGGUUUGGAUGCCAUUGUGGAAAGUUUUUCGGUGUGGGAUGAGCUCGCGGCCUAUCAGCUUGUUGGUGGGGUAAUGGCCUACCAAGGCGUCGACGGGUAGCCGGCCUGAGAGGGUGUACGGCCACAUUGGGACUGAGAUACGGCCCAGACUCCUACGGGAGGCAGCAGUGGGGAAUAUUGCACAAUGGGCGCAAGCCUGAUGCAGCGACGCCGCGUGGGGGAUGACGGCCUUCGGGUUGUAAACUCCUUUCGCUAGGGACGAAGCGCAAGUGACGGUACCUGGAGAAGAAGCACCGGCUAACUACGUG